ensembl:antisense 4930507D10Rik RIKEN cDNA 4930507D10 gene
AGAUCACCUGUGCCCUUCAGUCAUAAGAUGCAGGGGCAUUUUAGAGGCGUCUAUUUCUCCAUUUCUUAUUUGGUUUUUUCAGAAUCUUAGGUAGUUCAGCCUGACCUCAAAUCACUAUCUAUCCGAGGACAACUUGAGACGUCUGAUCCUCCCUCCCUCCCAAGAGAACUCCAGUUUGGUUCCUGAAACCCACAUCAGGAAGCUCACAGCCACCUGUGAGUCCAACUCCAUGGGAUCCAACAGCCUCUUCUGGACUCUGCCAGUACCCUACACAUGUGGCAUAUACACAGAGGCCUGAGUGCAAACUGAAGGGCAGUGGGAGUGAAUUCUCUACGGGGAUGCUACCAGUGUGAGGAAGAGAAGUCAGACAUGACCACAAAAUUCAACCUCCAAAUUUUGUGCUUCAUCUGCAAAAUGAGAAUAAUGCUGUGUGCCCUUGAGAGGCCUGGCUUUCUACCAUCUGAACUCAGGCUCCUCCCCCUGAACAUCUCUGAAACCUGUUCUCCCUGGGCUGAGAUCAUAGCUCCCCUACAGUGCUCAGAGUGGGGGUGGGGAGGAAAAAUGUUAUCCACCCAACAUCCGAAGUUAUCUUCUCCCAAAUUUCAAAGGAAGAGCUAUGCUCCAGUUGCAUGAUGGUCAGUGGAACCGUAGGGGGUAUGGCUUGUCUUCCUGAGGAAUGAGGGCACUGUCUGACGAUACUUUUGUUUUAUCGUAAGUUGGAGCAAGGGAAGUUAUUGGCCCUUGACAAGUAGCAAUCAGGAACACUGAACCCUAGAGUACACCAGUCAGCCCUCACAGCAAAUAUUCCAUCUAUCAGUUGCAAGGUAGAAACACUCACAGAAUAGAACAGCUUCAGCCUUGAUCCCUCUCUGCCUCUACCUUUUGUGUGAUGUUAGAUAGGGCACUUCAUUACUCUGGACCACAUUUAGUGUCCUGAGUCGUAGGAUAAGAUGGUUUGACUUGAUGGUCUAAAUGGCCUGUCAUUCUCGAAGUCUUUGCGUACGGUGUUGUCUCCCAAGUCAAAGCAAGCAUCCCCAUCUCCGUUCCCUCAACUAUAAAAUAGGACUGAAUAUCCUUACUUCAUUGGUCCUACUAUGGUAUGAGAGGAAAAGUUAACUAACAAUUAUAAAAUUGUCUUAC